GGACCAUUAGCUCAAUCGGUAGAGCAUCUGAUUCUUAAUCAGAGGGUUGCAGGUUCGAGUCCUGCAUGGUCCACCA
rnacentral:tRNA from 1 species